UGGGGAAUUGUUCGCAAUGGGCGCAAGCCUGACGACGCAACGCCGCGUGGAGGAUGAAGGUCUUCGGAUUGUAAACUCCUGUUGCCCGGGAAGAACGGCCCUGACCUAACACGUCGGGGUUUGACGGUACCGGGUGAGGAAGCCCCGGCUAACUCUGUGCCAGCAGCCGCGGUAAUACAGAGGGGGCAAGCGUUGUUCGGAAUUACUGGGCGUAAAGGGCGCGUAGGCGGCCUCCUAAGUCGGACGUGAAAUCCCCGAGCUCAACUCGGGAACUGCGUCCGAUACUGGUUGGCUUGAAUCCGGGAGAGGGAUGCGGAAUUCCAGGUGUAGCGGUGAAAUGCGUAGAUAUCUGGAGGAACACCGGUGGCGAAGGCGGCAUCCUGGACCGGCAUUGACGCUGAGGCGCGAAAGCCAGGGGAGCAAACGGGAUUAGAUACCCCGGUAGUCCUGGCCCUAAACGAUGAAUGCUUGGUGUGGCGGGUAUCGAUCCCUGCCGUGCCGAAGCUAACGCAUUAAGCAUUCCGCCUGGGGAGUACGGUCGCAAGGCUGA
rnacentral:rRNA from 1 species